rnacentral:tRNA from 1 species
GGAUAGGUGGCCGAGUGGCUAAAGGCGCUCCCCUGCUAAGGGAGUAUGGGUGAAUAGCCCAUCGAGGGUUCGAAUCCCUCUCUGUCCG